rnacentral:lncRNA from 1 species
CUUCACAGACACACACAAAUGGAAGUCAUCCUGCUAUUGCUAUAGGGUUUUCUAAUUCUCCUGCCAUUUCCUAGAAACUCUUUAACAACUACUAGAAUGCCUUCUGUCUGCUUGCCCAGCGCACUGUUAGUGAUGAAAUUCUGCAGCACAGUGAUUUGAUGAGGCCAUGAUCUUGGAAAGAUACAAAAAGAGAUGGGCUGUUUCAGGCGGAUCAUGAGGAAAUCCUGAAUUAUAAAGAUCCCCUAUUAGCCCUGCUGCCUGGCUUUGUCCUGCUAUUGUGUCUCCCUGCGAGGAUGGUCUGCAUCUGAGAUUGUCGGGGGAUUUCUUCAGACAGAUUCUAGUGGUAUUUUCAGAGCCCCCUGAUUUGCUCCUCACACUCCUGUAGCAUUUUCUAAAUUCCCUGGGGGCCGAGGGUCAUCUCUCACUUUACAUGGGAUAAAUUGAUA